rnacentral:rRNA from 1 species
UACGAAGGGGGCUAGCGUUGUUCGGAAUUACUGGGCGUAAAGCGCGCGCAGGCGGUUCUUCAAGUCAUAGGCGAAAGCCCAGAGCUCAACUCUGGAAUGGCCUUUGAGACUAGAGAACUAGGGUACGGGAGAGGUGAGUGGAAUUCCGAGUGUAGAGGUGAAAUUCGUAGAUAUUCGGAAGAACACCAGUGGCGAAGGCGGCUCACUGGCCCGUUACCGACGCUCAGGCGCGACAGCGUGGGGAGCAAACAGG